UGGGGAAUAUUGGGCAAUGGAGGAAACUCUGACCCAGCGACGCCGCGUGAGGGAUGAAGGCCUUCGGGUUGUAAACCUCUUUCAGCAGGGAAGAAGCGAAAGUGACGGUACCUACAGAAGAAGCACCGGCUAACUAUGUGCCAGCAGCCGCGGUAAUACAUAGGGUGCAAGCGUUAUUCGGAUUUAUUGGGCGUAAAGAGCUCGUAGGCGGUUCGAUUAGUCGGGUGUUAAACCCCCAGGCUCAACCUGGGGCAGCCAUCCGAAACUGUCGUGACUAGAGUUUGGUAGGGGAUCACGGAAUUCCUGGUGUAGCGGUGAAAUGCGCAGAUAUUAGGAGGAACACCGAUGGCGAAGGCAGGUCUCUGGGCCAUUACUGACACUGAGGAGCGAAAGCGUGGGGAGCGAACAGG
rnacentral:rRNA from 1 species